CGGGCGGGGGCGGGGUCUGAGGCCGGCGAUUGGGCGGCGCGGCUGCUCGGAAGCACUUUGUUUUCUAUUCUAAUGAGGGCGGAGCGGGGCUUGUGGAUAUUUACGUUGAGGCGGGAGCCGCCGCCCUUCAUUCACCCACAUGGUCCCCGAACCCAGCCGCCGCCGCUGCCGGGACCCGCCGCCUCCACGCCGCUUCCCCCCCCCACCACCCCCACGGGCCCCGCCGGGAGCGGCGGCGCUCCGCGCCUCGCCCCGUUGCCGCCGCCGCGCGGGGCGCCGGGGCCGGGCGGAGGGAAGAUGGUGGCGGCCGCCGGCGGGUGAGUGUCACUGCCGCGCGCGCGUGGCCGCCGGGAGAGCCGUGGCGCAACCCAAAGCGAGUAAUUCGGUGGUAUUUUCACAGUAUCGACAUAGGCGGCAGAAAAUGCGGGAGCUUGUUGUGGAUGUUGCAGUGGAGUGUUCAUGGGGAAAGUUGCUUUUCACAGGAAAUGCAGGAACAAAGUAA
rnacentral:lncRNA from 7 species